AGAGAUGUGUGAUGACGCAUAUCAAUAAGCGGAGGAAAAGAAACUAACAAGGAUUCCCUUAGUAACGGCGAGUGAAGCGGGAAGAGCUCAAAUUUGAAAUCUUCAAGGUUCUACCUUGACGAAUUGUAGUUUAUAGAAGUGUUUUCUGUUAGUAGAGUGGCAAAAGUUCUUUGGAAUAGGACAUCAUAGAGGGUGAGAAUCCCGUAUUUGGUCAUUCUUUCUAGCUUUGUGAUACACUUUCAACGAGUCGGAUUGUUUGGGAAUGCAGUCCAAAAUGGGUGGUAAAUUUCAUCUAAAGCUAAAUAUUGGCGAGAGACCGAUAGCGAACAAGUACCGUGAGGGAAAGAUGAAAAGAACUUUGAAAAGAGAGUUAAACAGUACGUGAAAUUGUCAAAAGGGAAGCGUUUGACACCAGUGUUGUUUUUCCGAAAAUCAAUUACGAAUGUUUUGUUUUUGAGAAGUUAUGACUUCAUCGGCUUGCUUCUCUCUUUACGAAACUUUCUUAAUGCACUUUUCGGUUAACAAGUCAACAUCAAUUUCUUUUGUUGUAAAAGGGUAUGAGGAAGGUGGCUUUCUUUUCGGAGAAAGUGUUUAUAGCCUUGUACCUCUGCAAUCGGAGAGAUUGAGGUCUGCAGCGUAGAUCCUUCGGGGUUAGAUACACUUGUGCUAAGUUAUAGCUUUUCAUAGACAACUUGUUGACUAUGUUUAGUCUUGUAGCUUACUCGCUUACGCUAUUUUACCUACGCUUAGGAUGUUGAUCUGUAGUGCGUGCGC
rnacentral:rRNA from 1 species